GGUAGAGCCAUAUCUUCUCAAGCCAGCUUUUAGUUCAUCAAAUGUGAUUGCACCACUGUUAUCAGUAUCCAUAGCCUUGAACAUCUCUCGCAAACCAGCAAUCUCCUCCUCAGAAAGACUCUCAGCUAUUACCCGUAAAGCCAUCUUCUUCAAUUUAUUCAUUGCAGAGAAUUGUUUGAGACGAGAAAGUACAGCUGCGUCCAGUGCUCUAUCAGGAGCAACUCCAUUUUCACAAAUCCAAGGAUGGCAUAGCACUUCAUGAGCGGUCAAGCGUUCUGAAGGUUGAGAGCAAAGCAUCUUCCGGAUAAGAUCUUUAGCACUAUCUGAUAUAAGGGGCCAAGGGUCUGACUCAAAGUCAAUAU
rnacentral:misc_RNA from 1 species